rnacentral:sRNA from 1 species
CCCACCCUUAGGCGCUGGGAGAAGGGAGGGUGGGGAGGUCAGGGGCCUCUCAGAGGGGCCUCACUUGUUAACCCAGCCCCCAUUUCAGGUCUGAAGGGGCGUCUCGAUUACCUGAGCUCUCUGAAGGUGAAGGGCCUUGUGCUGGGCCCAAUUCACAAGAACCAGAAGGAUGAUGUCGCUCAGACUGACUUGCUGCAGAUCGACCCCAAUUUUGGCUCCAAGGAAGAUUUUGACAGUCUCUUGCAAUCGGCUAAAAAAAAGAGCAUCCGUGUCAUUCUGGACCUUACUCCCAACUACCGGGGUGAGAACUCGUGGUUCUCCACUCAGGUUGACACUGUGGCCACCAAGGUGAAGGAUGCUCUGGAGUUUUGGCUGCAAGCUGGCGUGGAUGGGUUCCAGGUUCGGGACAUAGAGAAUCUGAAGGAUGCAUCCUCAUUUUUGGCUGAGUGGCAAAACAUCACCAAGGGCUUCAGUGAAGACAGGCUCUUGAUUGCGGGGACUAACUCCUCCGACCUUCAGCAGAUCCUGAGCCUACUCGAAUCCAACAAAGACUUGCUGUUGACUAGCUCAUACCUGUCUGAUUCUGGUUCUACUGGGGAGCAUACAAAAUCCCUAGUCACACAGUAUUUGAAUGCCACUGGCAAUCACUGGUGCAGCUGGAGUUUGUCUCAGGCAAGGCUCCUGACUUCCUUCUUGCCGGCUCAACUUCUCCGACUCUACCAGCUGAUGCUCUUCACCCUGCCAGGGACCCCUGUUUUCAGCUACGGGGAUGAGAUUGGCCUGGAUGCGGCUGCCCUUCCUGGACAGGCUGGAGUGCAGUGGCAUGAUCUUGGUUCAUUGCAGCCUCCGCCUCCCAGGCCGAAGUGAUCAUCC